rnacentral:pre_miRNA from 1 species
UCUUAGGGACGAGCAAAGAAAGUGGUUUCUUGAGAUGGAACUACUCUUGGGGCAGAUGCUGUGAA